ACAGUUGGUGACUUGUUGGUGACUUGUUGGUGACUUGUGAUCCUGUUGGUGACUAUUGGUUCAGAAUUUUGGGGUCUCAGAUGACUUUGGGUUUCAGAUGAAUUUGUGGUUCCGAGUUCAAGCCGAAGCUUUGAUCCUGUGUUCUGAGAGACACAGCCAACCAGUCUUGUCUGCAUCAUUUGCAUCAUAACAUGUUUAUUUUCAAAAAAAAACGCAAUAAAAAAAAAGAGAAGGAAAAAAAGAAAAAAAAAGAAAAAAAAACUAAUCCCUGCAUGCAUAUCAUUUCUCAGGUACAUUCCAGAGCUUGUUCACUGAUAGAGAUGGCAACAGUCCCAGAGUUGAAGCGGAAGACUUGU
rnacentral:lncRNA from 1 species